UACGUAGGGUGCGAGCGUUGUCCGGAAUUAUUGGGCGUAAAGGGCUCGUAGGCGGUUUGUCGCGUCGGGAGUGAAAACCUUGGGCUUAACUCAGGGCUUGCUUUCGAUACGGGCAGACUAGAGGUAUGCAGGGGAGAACGGAAUUCCUGGUGUAGCGGUGAAAUGCGCAGAUAUCAGGAGGAACACCGGUGGCGAAGGCGGAUCUCUGGCAUUACUGACGCUGAGGAGCGAAAGCGUGGGGAGCGAACAGG
rnacentral:rRNA from 1 species